rnacentral:rRNA from 1 species
GGACGAACGCUGGCGGCGUGCCUAACACAUGCAAGUCGAGCGAAUGAAGUUCCUUCGGGAAUGGAUUUAGCGGCGGACGGGUGAGUAACACGUGGGCAACCUGCCUCAUAGAGGGGAAUAGCCUUCCGAAAGGGAGAUUAAUACCGCAUAAGAUUGUAGUAYCGCAUGAUACAGCAAUUAAAGGAGCAAUCCGCUAUGAGAUGGGCCCGCGGCGCAUUAGCUAGUUGGUGAGGUAAYGGCUCACCAAGGCGACGAUGCGUAGCCGACCUGAGAGGGUGAUCGGCCACAUUGGGACUGAGACACGGCCCAGACUCCUACGGGAGGCAGCAGUGGGGAAUAUUGCACAAUGGGGGAAACCCUGAUGCAGCAACGCCGCGUGAGUGAUGACGGCCUUCGGGUUGUAAAGCUCUGUCUUCAGGGACGAUAAUGACGGUACCUGAGGAGGAAGCCACGGCUAACUACGU